UCAAGUUACUAAGAGCGUAGGGCGAAUGCCUAGGCACCAAGAGCCGAAGAAGGACGCGGUAAGCUGCGAAAAGCUACGGAUAGCUGCAAACAAGCUACGACCCGUAGAUAUCCGAAUGGGGGAACCCACCUGAGCAAACCUCAGGUAUCUUACUGUGAAUAAAUAGCAGAAAAGAAGGGAACCCGGAGAACUGAAACAUCUAAGUACCCGGAGGAAAAGAAAGUAACAACGAUUUCCCAAGUAGCGGCGAGCGAACGGGAAGAAGCCCGGUAGGGCGGAAGAAAGCGGAAUAGUCGAAUAGCAUUGGAAAAACUACCGACACAGCGUAAAAGGCGCGUAGACGAAAUUCCACCGAACCAAACUACCUUAACGAGUAGCAUGGAACACGAGAAAUUCUGUGUGAAAAUAGGAGGCCCACCUCCUAAGGCUAAAUACUACUUGGUGACCGAUAGUGGACCAGUACCGUGAGGGAAAGGUGAAAAGAACCCCGGAAGGGGAGUGAAAUAGAAUCUGAAACCCUAUGCUUACAAGCAGAGAAAGCACAUUAAAAGUGUAAUCUCGUACUUUUUGUAGAACGGGCCAGCGAGUUAUUGUAUAUAGCAAGAUUAAACCAUUAAGUGGUGGAGUCGAAGGGAAACCGAGUCUUAAUAGGGCGUAGAGUUAUAUAUAAUAGACCCGAAACCGGGUGAUCUAUCCAUGGGCAGGGUGAAAUAGCGGUAAAACGCUAUGGAGGCCCGAACCGGGUAUGGUUUAAAACAUAUCGGAUGACCUGUGGAUAGGGGUGAAAAGCCAAACGAACUCGGAUAUAGCUGGUUCUCCUCGAAAUAGCUUUAGGGCUAGCCUUUAGGAAAUUUAAUGGAGGUAGAGCACUGACUGGUUGCGGGGCGUGUAUACGCUACCAACACCUAUCAAACUCCGAAUACCAAGAAAAUGAUCCUAAGGAGUCAGACAUGGAGGGAUAAGCUCCCAUGUCAAAAGGGAAAGAGCCCAGACCACCGACUAAGGUCCCUAAAUACAGAUUAAGUGGUAAAGGAUGUGAAGUUACUGAGACAACCAGGAUGUUGGCUUAGAAGCAGCCAUACAUUUAAAGAGUGCGUAAUAGCUCACUGGUCAAGUGAUUUUGCGCCAAAGAUUUCCGGGGCUAAAUCUGAUACCGAAGUCGUGGACUUGGAUAACAAGUGGUAGAGGAGCAUUGUAUGAAGGCAGAAGCAGUACCGAAAGGAGCUGUGGACAUCAUAGAAGAGAGAAUGCUGGCAUAAGUAGCGAAAAGGCGAGUGAGAAUCUCGCCCGUCGAAAACCUAAGGAUUCCUGGGCAAGGCUCGUCCCCCCAGGGUAAGUCGGGACCUAAGGCCAGGCUGAAAAGCGUAGCCGAUGGACAACAGGUUGAAAUUCCUGUACUAUCUUAAAUCGCAACUAGCAACGUGGGGACGCAGGAGGAUAGCCUUACCGUACAACAAGGAAAAGUACGGCUAAAUAACAAGCCAGAGCCUACAGGGAAAACCGUAGACUUGCUAAAGUAAGUUAUGAUGGGGAUCGAAAAACAAGUAGAGAAGAAGCACUAUUCACACUGCCAAGAAAAACCACUAGCGAGAUGAAAAGAUACCCGUACCGCAAACCGACACAGGUAGGAAAGGAGAGAAUCCUAAGACGCGCGGAAGAACCUUUGUUAAGGAACUCGGCAAAAUGACCCCGUAAGUUAGCGAGAAGGGGAGCCAGAGCGAUCUGGCCGCAGUGAAUAGGCCCAAGCGACUGUUUACCAAAAACACAAGUUUCUGCUAAGUCGAAAGACGACGUAUAGGAGCUGACACCUGCCCGGUGCUGGAAGGUUAAGGGGAAAUGUUAGCAGGUAGCGAAGCAUAGAACUUAAGCCCCAGUAAACGGCGGCCGUAACUAUAACGGUCCUAAGGUAGCGAAAUUCCUUGUCGGGUAAGUUCCGACCCGCACGAAAGGUGUAACGAUUUGGGCACUGUCUCAACAAAGGAUCCGGUGAAAUUG
rnacentral:rRNA from 1 species